GAGACUUUGAACUGUGGACUUUCGACUUGAUCCUGAAAUGUGUUAAGACUUCAGGGGACUGUUGGGAAGGCAUGAUUAGUUUUGAAAUGUGAGGACAUGAGAUUUGGGAGGGGCCAGGGGCAGAAUGAUAUGGUUUGAUUGUGUCACCACCCAACAAUCAUCUUGAAUUCCCAUGUGUUCUGGGAGGGACCCUGUGGGAGGUAAUUGAAUCAUGGGGGCAAGUCUUUCCCGUGCUGUUUUCAGGACAGUUAAUAAGUCUCAUGAGAUCUGAUGGUUUUUAAAAGGGGAUUUUCCCUGUACAACCUCUCCCUUUGCCUGCUGCCAUCCAUGUAAGAUGGGACUUGUUCCUCCUUUCCUUCUGCCAUGUUUAUUAGGCCUCACCAGCCAUGUGGAACUGUAAGUCCAUUAAACUCUUUUUCUUGUAUAAAUUACCCAGUCUCAAAUAUGUCUUUAUCAGCAGCGUGAAAACGGACUAGUACGGACUCCACGCAGAUCUCCCAGAGGAAGGCAUUGAGAGGCGAGAGGAAGCAGACCCUGGGCUGAAAAUGGAGGAAGCUGGGAACCCUGCAAGGAGCUGCAGAGCACCCGGACUCCUUACGCACCUCCAGCAACUCCUAGAGAAUGAGAGGUGGACACCCAGCAGGCAAGAACAUCAUCAGAGGGACUGACAUUCAGGUUUGCAAAUGAACAUUUUUCUGAAGAUGCCACCUACUUUUGUUAAACUUCCUCAUGGAUACAUUACAGAUCAUCUACUGGAAGAAAUAUUUGCUGUCUUGAGACUGUCAGGAUUCCCAGACAGCCUGUAUCAUCAGUAUCACAGGAGGAAAAAAUAAAUAAUUUGUAAAACCACCCUGUGUCCAUAAACCUGAUCUCAACAAAGUAGCAAGACUGUCAACAGAGUUUAGCAAAAAAUGUCUAUCUCACCACUAUGAUAUUUGAGAUAAUACUCAAGAAAAUAUCUUACCUUUAUUACAAGUUAAAGCUACAAUAAUGCGACUUAUAUUUCACU
rnacentral:lncRNA from 1 species